GGGGCUUCACUUUUAGUUACUGAUUUCUCACCUCUUAGAGAAGUUCGUAAAUGUAAAGAUGAAAUUUGCUUGAGGGUUGGUGAUUCGGUGGCUAUACAUGAAGUUGAUGCUCACAAUGUAGUACCUAUUUGGGUAGCAUCAGAAAAGUUGGAGUAUAGUGCUAGGACUUUAAGGGGUAAGAUAAAUAAAAGGCUGCCUGAUUACCUCAUUGAUUUUCCCGUAUUACAACCACCAUGUAGAAAGUGGGUUGCUACUGCAAAUCAGUUGACUGAUUGGGAAAGUCUCUUUGAUGAAGUGGCAAGGAAAGGGGCAGAAGUUCCUGAAAUUGAAUGGUGCAUGCCAGGAGAAGAAGCAGCAAUGGAAGUAUUAAUGGGAAGUAAAAAUGGAUUCUUAACCAGAAGGUUGAAGAAUUAUUCUACAGAUAGGAAUGACCCAUUAAAACCUAAUGGACUCUCUGGUCUUUCUCCAUAUCUUCAUUUUGGGCAAAUAUCUGCACAGAGGUGUGCACUGGAGGCACAGAAAGUAAGGAAGCUUUGUCCUCAGUCGGUUGACGCAUUUUUGGAGGAGUUAAUUGUUCGUAGGGAACUUGCAGAUAACUUUUGCUUCUACCAGCCUCAUUAUGAUUCGUUACAAGGGGCAUGGGAGUGGGCACGAAAUACCUUGCUGGACCAUGCUUCUGACAAGCGAGAACAUGUUUACUCGGUGGAGCAAUUAGAGAGGGCACAAACGGCUGAUCCGCUUUGGAACGCUUCUCAGCUGGAGAUGGUUUACCAAGGGAAGAUGCAUGGUUUUAUGCGUAUGUAUUGGGCAAAAAAGAUUCUUGAGUGGACAAAAGGACCUGAAGAAGCCCUUGCAAUAUCAAUUUAUCUAAAUGACAAGUAUGAACUAGACGGGAGGGAUCCAAAUGGAUACGUUGGUUGCAUGUGGUCAAUAUGUGGUGUUCACGACCAG
rnacentral:misc_RNA from 1 species